AUUGAACGCUGGCGGCAGGCUUAACACAUGCAAGUCGAGCGAGCGGCGGACGGGUGAGUAAUGUCUGGGAAACUGCCUGAUGGAGGGGGAUAACUACUGGAAACGGUAGCUAAUACCGCAUACCAUCAGAUGUGCCCAGAUGGGAUUAGCUAGUAGGUGGGCUCAUGGCUCACCUAGGCGACGAUCCCUAGCUGGUCUGAGAGGAUGACCAGCCAAAAUGGAACGGAUACAAGGUCCAGACUCCGACGGGAGGCAGCAGUGGGGAAUAUGGCACAAUGGGCGCAAGCCUGAUGCAGCCAUGCCGCGGGUGUGAAGAAGGCCUUCGGGUUGUAAAGCACUUUAAGCGAGGAGGCGUUACCUGCAGAAGAAGCACCGGCUAACUCCGUGCCAGCAGCCGCGGUAAUAC
rnacentral:rRNA from 1 species